UCCACCCAAGUAGGCUGAAAACAACUUUGCAGUCAGCGCAGGUUGAGCAUGGCGUCUGUGUCUCACUCAUGAAAGUUUCGUAAACUUGCUCUGUCGAUCCGAAGAAGUAUGUAACAGAACUUUUAACUGUUCUACGUGUACCCAGUAUUCAAUAGUGGGCUUCGUCGAUACCGAAGACAUGGAAAAAUACUCCGGCAAGCAAGUUUGAAAGCGUGCUUUGGUUAAAUAGCUAGCUAGCUGGCCGGCUACCUAUGCAGCUGGCUAGGUAGUCAAGGUGCUAACCUGUAUCACAUACGUACAUUUUACGCCUAUUUAGUCCAAUAUACGUAUAUAUUUUUAGUUAAGACUUAAUUUUAUUAGUUGACGUCGUCAUAGUUUGAUUCUGAUAGUUGCCGUUAGCUGUUUGGUUCAGUUGUUUGGACGCAAAACAUGGCCCAGUCACCGGUAGCCGUGCAAGUCCCUGGAAUGCAGAACAGCCGGGUCGACCCCGAGGAGCUGUUCACCAAGCUGGAGCGCAUCGGGAAGGGCUCCUUCGGUGAGGUGUUCAAGGGCAUCGACCACCGCACCCAGAACGUGGUGGCCAUCAAGACCAUUGACCUGGAGGAGGCCGAGGACGAGAUCGAGGACAUCCAGCAGGAGAUCACUGUACUCAGUCAGUGCGACAGCCCGCACGUCACCAAGUACUACGGCUCCUACCUGAAGGGUAGCAAACUAUGGAUUAUCAUGGAGUAUCUGGGUGGUGGAUCAGCGCUAGACCUGCUGCGAGCAGGUCCUUUUGAUGAGAUCCAAAUAGCCACCAUGUUAAAGGAAGUUCUCAAAGGCUUGGACUACCUACACUCAGAGAAGAAGAUCCAUAGAGACAUCAAAGCGGCCAAUGUCCUGCUGUCCGAGUCUGGCGAGGUGAAACUGGCUGAUUUCGGGGUGGCAGGGCAGCUGACAGACACUCAGAUCAAGCGCGAGACGUUUGUGGGCACCCCGUUUUGGAUGGCUCCUGAGGUCAUCCAGCAGUCUGCCUAUGAUUCAAAGGCUGACAUCUGGUCUCUGGGCAUCACAGCCAUCGAGCUGGCCAAGGGCGAGCCCCCCAACUCGGACAUGCACCCCAUGCGCGUCCUCUUCCACAUUCCCAAGAACACCCCACCCACCCUCAACGGCGAGUUCUCCAAGACCUUCAAGGAGUUUGUGGACCUGUGUUUGAACAAAGACCCUGCAUUUAGACCCACUGCCAAAGAGCUCCUGAAGCACAAGUUCGUAGUGAAGAACGCCAAGAAGACGUCCUACCUCACGGAGCUGAUUGACCGGCUGAAGCGCUGGAAGGCAGAAGGACACAGCGACGGAGACUCCAGCUCGGAUUCCGACUCGGAGUCCAGCAACAAGGAGAAUGACUCCUCCCAGCCAGAAUGGUCAUUCACCACCGUCCGCAAGAAGAAACCGGACAAGAAAGUGACCAAUGGGACAGUGAGCCGAGUUUUAGCUGAGCUGAAGCUCCAGCACAGGCCAGGCGUGCUGGAGGAGCUGGAGAGGAGCCUGCAGGCUGCGGAGGACAUGUGCCCAGGGCUCACAGACAAGAUGGUCAACCACAUCCUGGAGAGGGUGAAGAGGUUCUCUGUGAGUUAAUGCAAUGUGCAGAUGGUUUUACUAUACAGAUACACUCGCUCACACACACACACACAGACACACACACACACAAAUACACUUUGAUCACACACAGGCCACAUGGAGAACACACUCACUCACAAACACUCACUCUCCACUUGUGCACGUGCUGCACCCACGGUGAGGAGGCCGGAAGAGGAUGCUGCAGUGUCUCCCUCCUGAUCCUGCGCCCCGUCAUAUCAAAACCCCGUCUUCCCUCCGAGCUCUCAUAGGAAAGGACACGGCUCACCACCAUACUACCAAAAGGAAUUCAGUUUUUCUCUCCCAAAGAUAUGCUUUUUUUGGACGUGUAUUUAUCUUUUCUCUUUUUCCUCUGUUGUUUAAGUCACUUGUUGACAAAAGAUACUGGGAGUUAAGAGUCAGCUCUUAAGACCGUUUUAAUUACAUAAAAUAGGGUUUAACAAGAAUAGGGAAUUAUUUUCCAAGAUGUCAGCAUGUAUAAUGCUCUAAUUACUAUAACUUUUUAUAUUGUAGUGUUACAAUAAUAUAUUUUUUUCCCUGUAAAUCAUACGGAAGACAUAUCCUGUUUUAUAGUUUAACUGAACUCAUGGGAUGCUUUUCCAGUACAGUACACAUCACAGGAAAAGGUUUGCAUAGCAUAAGGAGCAUCCAGUAGGUUUUUAUUCCACAAAUAGCUUAUCUUUCUUUUUCUUUGGCCCUAAUAUAUAUUUAGGGCCACAGGUGUAUAUGUAAAUUGAGAGAGAUUAGUUAUUGUCUGUUUGACUGUAGCAGCCCCCCCCCUUUACACACUGUUACUUGUAGCAUUACACAACUGCUGUAUGGGAGACAUGCAUAUCGUCAGACAAUAUGGAUGACAUACCUCACAGACACACACACACACAAACAACACCACACACACAGACACACAAAGGCAAGCAAUCCAACACUGAGAGGGGGCAAAAUAAUCAGUGAUUUUUCAUCAGAUGUAUUUCUUUUAUUUUGUUUCUUUUAUUUUUAUUUUUCCUUUAUAUUGUCUCAAGAUCAUUGAUAAUAGAUGUCUUAAUAGAAGGGUGAUAUUUUGCUGUGCAAAAAGUGUUUAGGUUAAUGUCUGAAUUGAGUAUUAGAAAAUGCAUAAAUCUUAAGUCAUUCACAGGCCUUGAUGCCUGAAUCUAUCAUGUAAUAGAGCACGCUUAAUUAAUGCCUUGGUAAAUAGAAAUGUAGAACAUAAUCAUAGGUUUGGUUACUGGUCAAUCCAAAACUAAUUACAGUACAUUGAGUGCAAAGUUGCAGGUGAUAACUUAUUCAACAAUAUUUAUGAUAAGUAUUUAAUAGCUAAGGUAGUCUCACAUGUAUCCACAGUAAACCAACCAGAAAGACAGAUCUUUGCAGACUUAAACACAUCAGCUGGAUGUGGACAGUGGGAGACUAGUGUAAAUGUUUGUUUUAAUUCUUAAAAUUCUUUUUUUGUUUUCUGUUCUUUGUAAUUGUGCAGAAGUGCAUUGAUGGAACUAUGAUGACUAUGUUGCCUCCUCCUCUCACGCCAUUGUCCCCCCCCCCUCUUUAGUUGUUUCUCUUCCCCCCCCUCUCUCUCUUUAGUGUCUCUUCUCUCUGGGAGUCAUGGGGGAUAUACUGUACUUCUGAAGGAAAUAUGCACUGCGUACACUUUUUGCGGGUGGGGUUAUUUUAUACUUAAAAAAAAAUCAGAUUCCAGACAUUCCCCCGCUCUUCGAGUAGAUCUCGGGGGGAGUGUCCUUUGUCUGGCCAGUUGUGCGACGUUGUACAAGACACUGCAGUAAAGGAACCAAAAGGAGAUUGGACACGCUUAAGCAGAAGUGCAUAUAUAGCUCUAGUUUGGGGUAUAUAGUAAGUUUGGUACACAGGUUGUAGUUGUGUAGUUAUAGUUUGGAUGUGUUGGGGCAAUGUUUUUAUUUUUAUUUUAUGUAUUUUUUUUUUAACAUCAGAAGUCUUUCGAGAAGGGACUGUUCCGCCAAGCUCAAAAACUAAAGGGUGCCAUCUGUGGUUGGGUGGUGAUGGUGAUGAGGAACUUGUUGGCAAGGAGAAAAAAAAUGCCGACAUUAACACCCCAUAGUGCCUAAAUAUUUAUCGUUCCACUCGAUAUAUUUGUAAUGGUCAUUGUAUCUUCAAAAUGCUUUAACAGGCAUCCGUAACGUUGCCAGAGUGGCUGGAGGGUUUGAGCAAUCCGAUGUUUGGUAUAAUAUUUUUAUAUUUCUUUAGUACAACUCAUUGAUGCUGAAGUUUUGUACAUUUUCUUUAUCAGAGCUUUUAUAUAGUAAAUAUUAAAUGAAAUUGCUGCACAAGGAUCUGGCAAAGCUGUAUCAAUAGGCUUUUUUUGUUUGGUUGUUUUUGCUUCAACUGUUACAAAGAGCUUUUUAGUUUGGUUUGAAAAUAAAAAUGUAAAUUAUGAA